rnacentral:lncRNA from 1 species
GGGAAAUCUCUUAUACUGUCCUUUGGGUGUUCAGGACAGAAUUCUCAGAGAGAGUGUCCUUUGAUUUGAACAUUGAAGGACAGAAAAUAAUAUCAGCCAGGUGAAGAAUUUGGGGUAGAGAACGGAGUAUGGGAGGGGAGAAAGCUCCAGACAGAAACUGCAUAUACAAAAUCCUGUAUUCAAAUGCAAAGCUUUGAAUCAGACUUUCUGUAUUCAAAGAACUAAAAGGACUUCAGAGUGGCCAGAGCAAAGUGAGCAAAGCAGAAUGGCUGG